rnacentral:rRNA from 1 species
CGCCCGUUGGGCGUAGGACCUUGCCGGCCCCCCGCCCCGUAACGCCGGGACCCUUCCGUGGUGCUGCCCGGCUGUCGUCAGCUCGUGCCGUGUGGUGUUGGGUUAAGUCCCGCAACGAGCGCCCCCCCUAUCUUCCGUUGCCAGCGGUUAGGCCGGGCACUCUGGAGAGACUGCCUACGCAAGUAGAGAGGAAGGUGGGGAUGACGUCAAGUCAUCAUGGCCCUUACGUCCGGGGCUACACACGUGAUACAAUGGCCGGUACAACGGGCAAAGCCGCAAGGCAGAGAUAAUCCCUUAAAACCGGUCUCAGUUCGGAUUGGAGUCUGCAACUCGACUCCAUGAAGGUGGAAUCGCUAGUAAUCGCGGAUCACCACGCCGCGGUGAAUACGUUCCCGGGCCUUGU